rnacentral:rRNA from 1 species
GUGACCCUACGGGGGGCAGCAGUGGGGAAUAUUGCACAAUGGGGGAAACCCUGAUGCGGCGACGCCGCGUGAGUGAAGAAGUAUUUCGGUAUGUAAAGCUCUAUCAGCAGGGAAGAAAAUGACGGUACCUGACUAAGAAGCCCCGGCUAACUACAUGCCAGCAGCCGCGGUAAUACGUAGGGGGCAAGCGUUAUCCGGAUUUACUGGGUGUAAAGGGAGCGUAGGUGGCAUGGUAAGCCAGAAGUGAAAACCCAGGGCUCAACUCUGUGUCUUGCUUUU